rnacentral:pre_miRNA from 1 species
AGCAUUUUGAAUACAUGCCAAGAUUUAGUCAGACUCCAGACCAUUAGUAUUGAUGAGACUCCCAAGAUAAGUGAUGCA